CCGAUCUGGUUCGAGUCCGAGUAGCGGCA
rnacentral:tRNA from 1 species